rnacentral:rRNA from 1 species
AUUGAACGCUGGCGGAAUGCUUUACACAUGCAAGUCGAACGGCAGCACGGACUUCGGUCUGGUGGCGAGUGGCGAACGGGUGAGUAACAUAUCGGAACGUAUCCAAUAAUGGGGGAUAACUAAUCGAAAGGUUGGCUAAUACCGCAUACGCCCUACGGGGGAAAGCAGGGAAUCUUCGGACCUUGCGUUAAUGGAGCGGCUGAUAUCUGAUUAGCUAGUUGGUGAGGUAAAGGCUCACCAAGGCGACGAUCAGUAGCUGGUCUGAGAGGACGACCAGCAACACAGGGACGGUGACAUUGUCCAGACUCUUAAGGGAGGGAGAAGUGGGGAAUUGUGGACAAGGGGCGCAAGCAUGAAACAGCCAGUGCGCGUGAGUGAAGAAGGCCUUCGGGUUGUAAAGCUCUUUCGCAAGGGAAGAAAACGUACUUUCUAAUAAAGAGUGAAGUUGACGGUACCUUGAUAAGAAGCACCGGCUAACUACGUGCCAGCCGCCGCGGUAA